rnacentral:rRNA from 1 species
GACGAACGCUGGCGGCGUGCCUAAUACAUGCAAGUAGAACGCACAGUUUAUACCGUAGCUUGCUACACCAUAGACUGUGAGUUGCGAACGGGUGAGUAACGCGUAGGUAACCUGCCUGGUAGCGGGGGAUAACUAUUGGAAACGAUAGCUAAUACCGCAUAAUAUUAAUUAUUGCAUGAUAAUUAAUUGAAAGGUGCAAUUGCACCACUACCAGAUGGACCUGCGUUGUAUUAGCUAGUAGGUGAGGUAACGGCUCACCUAGGCGACGAUACAUAGCCGACCUGAGAGGGUGAUCGGCCACCCUGGGACUGAGACACGGCCCAGACUCCUACGGGAGGCAGCAGUAGGGAAUCUUCGGCAAUGGGCGAAAGUCUGACCGAGCAACGCCGCGUGAGUGAAGAAGGUUUUCGGAUCGUAAAGCUCUGUUGUAAGAGAAGAACGGGUGUGAGAGUGGAAAGUUCACACUGUGACGGUAUCUUACCAGAAAGGGACGGCUAACUACGUG